rnacentral:rRNA from 1 species
UACGUAGGGGGCAAGCGUUGUCCGGAAUCAUUGGGCGUAAAGAGCGUGUAGGCGGUCCGGUAAGUCGGUUGUGAAAGCCCAGGGCUCAACCCUGGGAUGCCGACCGAUACUGUCGGACUAGAGUUCGGAAGAGGCGAGUGGAAUUCCCGGUGUAGCGGUGAAAUGCGCAGAUAUCGGGAGGAACACCAGUGGCGAAGGCGACUACCUGGCCUGUUCUUGACGCUGAGGCGCGAAAGCGUGGGGAGCGAACAGG